AGGACACGCUCAACAAGCCAGGAAGUACCACUGCAUCGGGGGUGGCUCGCCUGAAGAAGACCGCCACUGCCGGAGCCAUCUCGGAGCUCGCGGAGAGCCGCCUGAGGAGCGGCACAGGUAUUUCUUGACCACUUACCCUGUGCCGGACCUGUUUUAGGCAGAUGACGUCACUGCCCACAGGGAGUUUACAUCUAGAGUGGGGAGACCGAUGAGAAACAAAAGAGGUGGAUGUCUAAUAUUUGUACUGAACCCUAUGGAAAGCUGGCAAGAGCCUCGCCCAGCAGCUGUGGAAGGCUGCUCAGAGUGACUUGGAUGGCAGUGGCAGCUGGAAGCUGUGAACCUUCUCAGUGUU